CUAGACAUGCAAGUCGAGCGGUACAUUUCUAGCUUGCUAGAAGAUGACGAGCGGCGGACGGGUGAGUAAUACUUAGGAAUCUACCUAGUAGUGGGGGAUAGCUCGGGGAAACUCGAAUUAAUACCGCAUACGACCUACGGGAGAAAGGGGGCAACUUGUUGCUCUCGCUAUUAGAUGAGCCUAAGUCGGAUUAGCUAGAUGGUGGGGUAAAGGCCUACCAUGGCGACGAUCUGUAGCUGGUCUGAGAGGAUGAUCAGCCACACCGGGACUGAGACACGGCCCGGACUCCUACGGGAGGCAGCAGUGGGGAAUAUUGGACAAUGGGGGAAACCCUGAUCCAGCCAUGCCGCGUGUGUGAAGAAGGCCUUUUGGUUGUAAAGCACUUUAAGCAGUGAAGAAGACUCUUCGGUUAAUACCCGGAGACGAUGACAUUAGCUGCAGAAUAAGCACCGGCUAACUCUGUGCCAGCAGCCGCGGUAAU
rnacentral:rRNA from 1 species